UACGGGGGGGAGCAAGCGUUGUUCGGAUUUACUGGGCGUAAAGGGCGCGUAGGCGGCCAGCACAAGUCAGUUGUGAAAUCUCCGAGCUUAACUCGGAAAGGUCAACUGAUACUGUGCGGCUAGAGUGCGGAAGGGGCAACUGGAAUUCUUGGUGUAGCGGUGAAAUGCGUAGAUAUCGGGAGGAACACCAAUGGCGAAGGCAGCUCGCUGGGACGUUACUGACGCUGAGACGCGAAAAGCGUGGGGAGCAAACAGG
rnacentral:rRNA from 1 species